rnacentral:rRNA from 1 species
GUGCUAAUCUGCGAUAAGCGCCGGUAAGGUGAUAUGAACCGUUAUAACCGGCGAUACCCGAAUGGGGAAACCCAGUGUGACUCGUCACACUAUCAUUAACUGAAUCCAUAGGUUAAUGAGGCGAACCGGGGGAACUGAAACAUCUAAGUACCCCGAGGAAAAGAAAUCAACCGAGAUUCCCCCAGUAGCGGCGAGCGAACGGGGAGGAGCCCAGAGCCUGAAUCAGCAUGUGUGUUAGUGGAAGCGUCUGGAAAGGCGCGCGAUACAGGGUGACAGCCCCGUACACAAAAGCGCAUGUGCUGUGAGCUCGAUGAGUAGGGCGGGACACGUGGUAUCCUGUCUGAAUAUGGGGGGACCAUCCUCCAAGGCUAAAUACUCCUGACUGACCGAUAGUGAACCAGUACCGUGAGGGAAAGGCGAAAAGAACCCCGGCGAGGGGAGUGAAAAAGAACCUGAAACCGUGUACGUACAAGCAGUGGGAGCCCCACCACCAAAGCAUUUGCUGUACCGCGUUGACGGAGCGAAGCGACGUCAAACCGAUAAAACAGCAGUGUAAAGUGAGCCGCAGGGCGCUUUGCGCGACAGCGCAAAGGCAGGCGGUUUCGCGUAGCGAAAGCGAAUGCUUUGGGGUGGGGUGACUGCGUACCUUUUGUAUAAUGGGUCAGCGACUUAUAUUCUGUAGCAAGGUUAACCGAAUAGGGGAGCCGGAGGGAAACCGAGUCUUAAUUGGGCGUUAAGUUGCAGGGUAUAGACCCGAAACCCGGUGAUCUAGCCAUGGGCAGGUUGAAGGUUGGGUAACACUAACUGGAGGACCGAACCGACUAAUGUUGAAAAAUUAGCGGAUGACCUGUGGCUGGGGGUGAAAGGCCAAUCAAACCGGGAGAUAGCUGGUUCUCCCCGAAAGCUAUUUAGGUAGCGCCUCGUGAAUUCAUCUCCGGGGGUAGAGCACUGUUUCGGCUAGGGGGCCAUCCCGGCUUACCAACCCGAUGCAAACUGCGAAUACCGGAGAAUGUUAUCACGGGAGACACACGGCGGGUGCUAACGUCCGUCGUGAAGAGGGAAACAACCCAGACCGCCAGCUAAGGUCCCAAAGUCAUGGUUAAGUGGGAAACGAUGUGGGAAGGCCCAGACAGCCAGGAUGUUGGCUUAGAAGCAGCCAUCAUUUAAAGAAAGCGUAAUAGCUCACUGGUCGAGUCGGCCUGCGCGGAAGAUGUAACGGGGCUAAACCAUGCACCGAAGCUGCGGCAGCGACACUGUGUGUUGUUGGGUAGGGGAGCGUUCUGUAAGCCUGUGAAGGUGUGUCGUGAGGCAUGCUGGAGGUAUCAGAAGUGCGAAUGCUGACAUAAGUAACGAUAAAGCGGGUGAAAAGCCCGCUCGCCGGAAGACCAAGGGUUCCUGUCCAACGUUAAUCGGGGCAGGGUGAGUCGACCCCUAAGGCGAGGCCGAAAGGCGUAGUCGAUGGGAAACGGGUUAAUAUUCCCGUACUUGGUGUUACUGCGAAGGGGGGACGGAGAAGGCUAUGUUGGCCGGG